CAGGAUCACGAGCUGAGCCCAAUGCAGACCCUCAACCACUGAGCCACCCAAGCAUUCCUAAGUUAACGGAGCCUUAGCAGAACAAAGAUCCCACAGACACAGAUUCUAUCUUCCCAUCUGUCUUACAGCUGGACCUGACAGACUAAUUCCUAGACGAGCUGCUGGGAGGUAGAGCAACACAUCCAACUCCCGUUUCAUUUAGUUGAAAAGAAUUGCUUGGACUUCUGUUCCUCCUUCUUCCUAUGAGCUUCCUGAUAUGGCAGGAACUGAGCUUUGGAAAUGAAGGUGAAGCAGAGAAACAUGAUGGGGGUGUAGAGGGGGAAAGGGAUGUAUCUCCUGGAAUGACCACAAGACACUAACUUGCCCCAUCAGCACAGACAAGCCAGACAAUUAAAUGAGAAGUAAAUAAAUUUCAGGGUGCUUGGGUGGCUCAGUCAGUUAA